AUUGAACGCUGGCGGCAUGCCUUACACAUGCAAGUCGAACGGCAGCACGGGAGCAAUCCUGGUGGCGAGUGGCGAACGGGUGAGUAAUAUAUCGGAACGUGCCCAGUCGUGGGGGAUAACGUAGCGAAAGCUACGCUAAUACCGCAUACGAUCUAUGGAUGAAAGCGGGGGAUCGCAAGACCUCGCGCGAUUGGAGCGGCCGAGAUCAGAUUAGGUGGUUGGUGAGGUAAAGGCUGACCAAGCCAACGAUCUGUAGCUGGUCUGAGAGGACGACCAGCCACACGGGGACUGAGACACGGACCAGAGUCCUACGGGAGGCAGCAGUGGGGAAUUUUGGACAAUGGGCGCAGGCUUGAUCCAGCAAUGCCGCGUGCAGGAUGAAGGCCUUCGGGUUGUAAACUGCUUUUGUACGGAACGAAACGGUGAGCUCUAAUACAGUUUGCUAAUGACGGUACCGUAAGAAUAAGCACCGGCUAACUACGUGCCAGCCGCCGCGGUAA
rnacentral:rRNA from 1 species